CCCUAAGAUGAGAAUUCCCAUGGCGUAAGCAGUAAGACUCCUGAAAGAACAUCAGGUUGAUAGGUUAGGGGUGUAAGCAUGGUAACAUGUUUAGCUGACUAAUACUAAUAAGUCGAGGGCUUGACCUA
rnacentral:ncRNA from 1 species